UACGUAGGGGGCGAGCGUUGUCCGGAGUUACUGGGCGUAAAGCGCACGCAGGCGGUCUGCUAAGUUUGGAGUGACAGUUGGUGGCUUAACUGCCAAAGUGCUUCGAAAACUGACAGACUUGAGGGCUUCAGAGGGACACGGAAUUCCGGGUGGAGUGGUGAAAUGCGUAGAGAUCCGGAGGAACACCAAAGGCGAAGGCACCAUCCUGGGGAGUCACUGACGCUCGGGUGCGAAAGCCAGGGGAGCGAACGGG
rnacentral:rRNA from 1 species